rnacentral:rRNA from 1 species
AUUGAACGCUGGCGGCAUGCCUUACACAUGCAAGUCGAACGGCAGCACGGGAGCAAUCCUGGUGGCGAGUGGCGAACGGGUGAGUAAUAUAUCGGAACGUGCCCAGUCGUGGGGGAUAACGUAGCGAAAGCUACGCUAAUACCGCAUACGAUCUAUGGAUGAAAGCGGGGGAUCGCAAGACCUCGCGCGAUUGGAGCGGCCGAUAUCAGAUUAGGUAGUUGGUGGGGUAAAAGCCUACCAAGCCUUCGAUCUGUAGCUGGUCUGAGAGGACGACCAGCCACACUGGAACUGAGACACGGUCCAGACUCCUACGGGAGGCAGCAGUGGGGAAUUUUGGACAAUGGGCGC